rnacentral:lncRNA from 1 species
CUUGAGACUGGGUGUUUUGUGGCGAAUGUCUUCUCCUUGAGUAUGCCCGAAGUUUUUGUGUACUCGCACUUUUUCGAUAUUUAUAUACAUCGUAUUUUCAUCAAANAAAAAAGAAAAUAAGGCCAAAUGUAGUAGUCUAGCCAAUCAAAAACACAAUUUUCUUAUCUCGUUAUUAUCGGCGCAUCACUGCGCUCAUGAUGUACACAAAAACAGACCAACAAGAAAAAUAAAACUCAAACAUCAAGCAAUCAAAACCGAUACAAAUUAACACGAUUAAAUACAAGCUAAAACAAACCUGAUUAAAAAAAAACUAAAAAGCAUAAAGAAAAAAACAAGUUAAUUCAAAACAUUCAACGUAAAUAAAUAAGCUCGUGUGUUGCACAAGAAAUUACUAAUAAGAACUUAAUAAAUGAUCCCAUCAAAAGGGCUAUCAACAUAAGCAUUAAUUCCCUCAAAAAAAAAAAUCGCGUGUUUGACAAAACAUUCCUCAUACCAUCCACUACACGUUGAAUAAGACAAAUAAUCCAAGCAUCAACUAAAAAUAUCUUCAAUAAAUUUAAAAAGAAUCUGACCA